AUUUGAGUAGUUUAAUAAGAAUUUUAAUUUGUGGUGUUAAAGGUGUUUUUAAUCUCAGGUU
rnacentral:tRNA from 1 species